AAUCAACGCUGGCGGCGUGCCUAACACAUGCAAGUCGAACGCGAAAGCCCCGAAAGGGCAAGUAGAGUGGCAAACGGGUGAGUAACGCGUGGGUGACCUGCCUUCGAGUGGGGGAUAACGUUCCGAAAGGGACGCUAAUACCGCAUAACAUCCUGCUCUUUAAGAGGUGGAGAGUCAAAAGCUGGGGAUCGCAAGACCCAGCACUCGAAGAGGGGCCCNGUCUGAUUAGGCAGUUGGUGAGGUAACGGCUCACCAAGGCGACGAUCAGUAUCCGGCCUGAGAGGGCGGACGGACACACUGGGACUGAGACACGGCCCAGGCU
rnacentral:rRNA from 1 species